AGAGGUAUAGAAAGGCGACAAGAAGAAGAGAGACGUCAGUGGUGUGAGAGGGGACGCUCUUCUAUCAGGGGCUGUAAUGUCAGGAGUUUGAUGUACCUUGAAACGAAACCAACGCUGGAGGAAAUACAUUUUACAUCCGUCUGCUUAAGUUUCGGUCUGAAAAUGACGCUGACACUCUUUGUUUAACCAGUCCUCAUCCAUGUGACUGAGUGUUGCGUUGCAGAGGAGUGGCCGUGCUUCUCACAGGCCCACAGCCUGCCUUAACUGUUCAGCUCACCACGCCGACUGACCGCAUGCUGCCACAGCAUUCCCUGACUGCGUCAGAGCUGUUUUUCUGUCUGUAGCUGCUUAUCAAAAAGCCUGAUUUGUAUAAAUAUCUGUGUUGUUUAGGCCUCCAAAUAAUACUCUGCUACUAAUUUCUACAGUAUAGACUGUCACUGUAUAAAAAGACCAAAGAAUGGUCAUGUUUGCCUGUUAGACAUAUUUCAGAGAAUGAUGUGCUCUGAUCAUUGUUCAAAUAAGCCUGGCUGAACAAAAAUCAUUUACUCUGUUUCUUAAAAAAAUCAAAAUAAAUAAAUAUAAUAAUAAUAAAAUUAAAAAAACCCUUAUUGCUCACUGGUAUUUCUCCACAGUAAUUACUGUUUCUUUUUGUCUGAUUAGAGACCUUUCACGUGGCUCAUAUAGUCCUUUUUCUUUUUUUUAAUGUGGCUUUAAUCCCCCAAUUGAGCUAUAUGAAUUCCCACACAUCAUACCUGAAUGUCUUAAUAUUUCUCUCAAACAACCUCAGUAUUCCAGGCAUAUCAUAUGCAUAAGAAAAAGAUUUGACCAGUUACCAUGUUGGCCUAAAUAACAAGCAUGGCAAGCAGCUUAACUCAGUCUGGAGGCUCACCCAGGAGUCUUUCAGUUACUAUUUAUUAUGCUCUUCAUAAAUAAUAAGAUUUUAAAAGGGUGGAGUGAUCCUUAACCAAUUAAGCAUUUUGGCCUGUUAUCAGUUUUUUCAGGUUUUGUGAACUGAAUUAUUUCAACAUGCAUGUUAUUCCAUUUUUUAUCAUAAAAAAAAUAUGUAUCACAUUGACACAAUGGAAGAAGAAUAAAAAUGAAUAAAGAAGAAGAAUAAACAUAAUCUUAGGAUGAGCGUCCUCCUGAAAGUCUGAAGGCCUGACUGGAGUUCAUUCAUGAAACUAAAAGAAUUGAUUCAGAUUUAAAUACAUGCUUUUUUUUUUAUUUAUACAUUUAGUAUUAUGUAUUUAUCCUGAUAACUCGUUAUUAUUGUCAUGCAAUGAAAUAUAAAGAUGUUAAGACAUGCACUCACAGGUAAAUACAUUUAAAAUAGUGAAUGACCCUUUUGUAAAUAACAAAGCUCUCCACAAAUCAUCGAGUUCAACACUGUGAAGUUAAUGAGAAAAUAAAAUCAGCAGUAAGCCUGUAUGCCGUUAAGUCAGAAUGCUG